GUAGACAGAAGCCUCGGUGGAAGAUUACUAAUGAGAGUGGCGAACGGGUGAGUAACGCGUGAGCAACCUGCCUAUGACAGUGGGAUAGCCUCGGGAAACCGGGAUUAAUACCGCAUAAAAUCGUAGAAACACAUGUUUUAACGGUCAAAGAUUUAUCGGUCAUAGAUGGGCUCGCGUCUGAUUAGCUAGUUGGUGAGAUAACAGCCCACCAAGGCGACGAUCAGUAGCCGGUCUGAGAGGAUGAACGGCCACAUUGGAACUGAGACACGGUCCAAACUCCUACGGGAGGCAGCAGUGGGGAAUAUUGCACAAUGGGGGAAACCCUGAUGCAGCGACGCCGCGUGAACGAAGAAGGUAUUCGUAUCGUAAAGUUCUGUCCUAUGGGAAGAUAAUGACAU
rnacentral:rRNA from 1 species